rnacentral:lncRNA from 1 species
UUAAAGCAAAAUAAAUUCCUACAUAUAGUAGUACAGAUAACUAGAGUAUGAUAUUUAAUUUACAGUGACAUAUGGACCCCCAAAUGACAAAAAUGAACGAAGGCUGCAAACCUAUAGUUUUUGAGGAAGUAAAGCCAACUGUAGCCUUCUACGAUAUCAACUAUCUACAGCUUAUACUGAGCCUGAAAUGGGUGGAAAGAAGGAUGAUGAGAUUAUAAAAUCCCACUAAGUAAACAGACAUCAUCAAAAACAUCUAGAGUUGAGUACAUGGAGACGAUAAAGUAAAUCUUUGUAAACUGGGUCACAGCAUUAGAACACAUUUCAUUCAAAAUACGUAAAAAGGCUUAUGAAUCUCAUAAAAACUAAGCUUGUGCCAUAAAUCCAUCCUCGAGGACACCUUGGCCGAGGCAUCCUACUGAGACCGCCAAGGCUGUUAAAAAUAAAUUUCCUACACACAUAAACAUAUUUUUAGUUUAAGAAAAACACAGUCGUUCCUUGGCGUUGGCUGAGUUCACCAUCACGUGGUGGUUCGGCGUGAAGUGAACUCAAAUAUCACCUCAGGAGCUACCCUACUCGCCUCUACAACCGAGGUGAGCACAUAUAAACGAGGUUACCGUGCCCCUCUCAUAGGUUGGUCCACGGAACCCGCCUACUGCAGCAAGCUAAUAAUUAUCCCACCAAUCAAUAAAAUUCAAUAACAUGAUAUGGCAAUUAUUGUGAUUCACAGCUUUUCAAAGCAAACAAACAAUCCGUAUUUCAAUAUAAUUGCCAACCAGCCAAUCAUGCCCGAUUUAUCAUAAGCCAAUCAAUUUAAACAAUCAAAUUACAACAAAUAGCAGUCUCCGUGUACUCUAUUUUUCAAAAUCAUUAUUAAUUUCAAACGAUUUAUAAAUUAAUUUCAUUGAAACACAUUUAUUCAUAAAACAUGAAAAUUUACCUUUUUAAAUCCCUUUUUCCAUAGAAUUCAUGAAAUCAUCUAAAAACCACCCUAGAUAAUUAAAAUGACAGUAAGUUUACUCACAAUGUCUAGAGUGCGGAUUUUCGAAGUACUCUGACUAUUG